GGGCCCAGCCCUGUUCCUGCUCCGGCUCCUGCGGGGAUGGAUGCUUCACGCAGUAAGCGAGUAAGCGAGCCCUGGAGACCGGGGCCCUGGGUGUGCGGUCGGCUCAGUGCCACGCGGUGAGAUAGGCAUGGUUAUCAACCCACGCCAAGGCGGUUGUGUACCUGGCAUAGAAAACACUGCUGUUGAAUGUUGUUUCCAUAGUCAUUCGCCAGCGUCCACUGAUGAGAGGUGCCACCACGGACACCCGGCCUUGCUCCGUCGAAGCUUUGGUCCAUUAGGACCAAAGUCAGGCCCCAGCGGGCCUCCCUGCCAUUCCUGGACGGCCUCGCGUCCUCCCAGAGCCUGACCUUCUCUUAUCUCUGCAGCCUAAGUCGCGGAAGCGUAGACACCCGGCUUUUCCCGCGUGCUCUAUCGGGCUCCCCUGGACACGGAGGGUGGAGCAGAAAGAGCAGAGGGGCCGGUGGGAGCCAUGGGGAGUCCGCCUAGCUCCAGAGAAGCUGACAAGUACCUGCCGGAAAAACUGCCUCUUUUCCCUCCCGUGCUUGGAGCAGGCAUUGCUGACAGAUCACAGCUGCUGGGCCCAAAGGUCCCUUUGCACGCGGGACUUCAGGAAGUUGCUGCUGACCUAUGGGAGUUGGUGCAGAAAGAUGAAAUUUGUUAUCCUUGGCUGUAUCAACUCUCUCUCCUCUCCUUGGUGGUGAUAGUUUUGUUCUUAAAAGCCUCUUGUGAGAGAAUUUGUGGAUGAAGAACCUGUAAGAUCACAAGUGAAACAAUUUAUUGAUGUCAAUAGAUUUAUACACGUUCAUUAAGAAUCAAAACUAAACUAAAACAUCAGUCUGACUAAAGAGACCACCACAGAUAUUUCAUAUGCUGUACAUCAGUAACAAAGGGUACCAAAUAGUUAAUAUCCAUGUACUAGUCACAUGAGAAAUGUUUUAGGGUCAUUGACCAGUGUAGUCAGUACAGUGGUCCCAUGGUAUUUGUGGGGGAUUGGUUCCAGGAAUCUCUUGGACACCAACUCCGUGGAUGAUCAGACAAUAUAAAAUGUGGGUCAGGUGCGGUGGCUCAUACCUGUAAUCCCAGCAUUUUGCGAGAAUCACUUGAGGCCAGUUCAAGAUCAGCCUGUGCAACAUAGCAAGACUCCACCUCUAAAAAAAAAAAAAAAAAAAAAAAUUAGCCCAGUGCAGCGGUGUGCACCUGUAGUCCCAGCUUCUCAUGAGGUUGAGGUGAAAAGAUCACUUGGGCCCAGGAGUUUGAGGCUGCAGUGAGCUGUGACUGCCACUGCACUCCAGCCUGAGUGACAAAGCAAGUCCCUGUCUCUUAAAAAAUAAAAUAAAAUAAUAGCAUUUGAAUGUAACC
ensembl:lncRNA novel transcript